CCAGGGCCUGGCACAGAGCAGGUGCUUGGUUGACCUUUUUUGACCAUUAGUAGCCAUGACAAUAACGAUGGUAUUAAUAGUAAACACACAAGCAGGGCUUACUCAGUGCCAGGCACUCAUCUAAAGUGCUUUGGAUUUAUUAACGUAUUUAUUCUUCCUAACAACAGAUGGAAAGCUUAACAAACGAGGAAGCAGAAACACUGAGUGUUUAAGUAACUUUCGGAUCAUAUAACCAAUACUUAAACCCAAACCAUCUUGUUCUUGGAGUCCAUGGGCUUAACCAUCAGACUAUACAGCUUCUAGAUCGGUGUCUAGAGUUGGACACAUGCUUCCACUUCCCACAGAUGGCGAUGGAGAAGGAGACUAAAGAAGAACAAAGAUGCUAGCUAGGAAAGAAGUUCACGCAGCCUUCAAGACGUAAACCGACAGCUGUGGUUUGUUCUGCAACUGCAGAACUGCCUGGAGACCAGAGCUGAAAAUCACCGUGGAAAUAAUCUGGUGUUUCAGUGGAGGACCAGCAGCAGCUGAGCGGACCCAGCCUGAGGCCAGGCUAUCACAGCCAACAAGGGGUGUGGGGAGUCAUCUUGGGGUGAAUCACGGCCUGGCAGGACAGAGUCUUCACAGGGAACUGAGUGGACCCCGCGUGGAUUGCAACACCAUCUUCUACUUGACAACAAAGCUGCAGCCAAGGCGACUCUCCCGCCCCUGCCCUUCCCUCUGACCCCUUGCCCAUUAUGGCCUCUGGGGCAGGAAGUGGGGAACAAAGCAGAAGAUAUCCCUCCCAGCUCUCCCCACCAGCUGUGAAGAGCCAUUGACCACCUGGGGCCUUGCAGCCUGGCUUCACGAUAGAACCACCUGGGGAGUUUUAAGCUCUUGGUGCCCAGGCCUCACCCCAGACCAACUAAAUAGAAAUCCUUGGAAGUGGAGCAUGAGUAUGAAUAGUUUUUAAGACUUUCCAGAUAAUUCCAAUGUACCUGCACAUUUAUGAUGAUUUAGCAGCCUCCAGGGCCAGAAAAUAACUUUUCAGUCAGAAAAAGGACAGCAAUAUGAUAUCCACAGCUCCAUUUUUCUCCAUCACUCCAACUUACUCCUAGGCCAUUUACUCAAGAAUAUGAUAAGGGCAACUUCUGUUUGGACUUAAUACACAAGGAAAAUCAUCACACGUUGUGUCUCAUUUUCUCUACAACCUUAUGCAAGGGUGUUAUUAUUAUCCCAUUUUACAGUUGAGGAACUGAGGCUCAGAGAGGUUGAGUGACUUGUACAAGGUCACACAGUAACAGGUGGUACCAGGAUUCAACCACAGGUCCACAACUGUUUAAUCACAGCUAUGGGUACAUAAACCAGGGAAACACAGGCUGAACCAUAAAGGCAAGUUAAAAGCAGGUAGCACACAGCCAGCUACCGCUGAGUUGACAUUUAUGUUUAGGGACAAACUGCCGGGGCCAUGAGGGAGCCUGUUCCUCUCUGCUCUCUUUUCUAUUUUCUGACUCUAGUAUUGCUUCCUACGUGGAAACUUCCCAAACUCUACCAGCUCUCCACUCGCUUUCUCUACCAGUAGUUCCCCAGACUAUCUAGCAUCAGCUUAAAAAAAUUCUGAUUACUGGGCUCCAACUCAGAACUCUGGAGCAUUGCCAGUGAGGGGGUCUGAACAUCUACGUCUUUUUAACAAGCAAUAUAGGGGGGUUGGGUGUGCACAUACUUUUGGGAAGUCGUGGUGUAACUCCUCACUGUUGAAAAAUGUGCUCUGUGGGCCAACAGUGCUGGUGCCACCUUGGAGUGCCUUUGAUAGAAAUGGAGCAUCUGAGGCUGCCCUCCUGACCUGCUGAAUUUGACUGCAUUUUAACAGGAUGCCUAGAAGAUUCGCAUGCACCUUAAAGUUUGAGGAGCACUGCUCUGGCCAGUCUGUUCGGCAUAAAGAGUGUGCCUUAGAGCAGAGGUUCUCAAAGUGUCUCUGGAUUGGGAGCAGCAGCAGCAGCAGUACCAGGAGUUUGCAGAAAUGCAAAUGUUGAGCCCCACUUCACACCCACUGAAUCAGAAACUGGAGGAAUGGAGGCCAGGAAUCUGUAUUUUUAACAAGCCAUCUAGUUGUUCGGAUGCACGCUCAAGUUCAGCCGUAGAUGUAGAUUACAAAGCACUGGCUCACACAGCAGCCUCUUUGAUCCUAGGAACCCAUUGCCCCUGCACUGGAUACCAGGAUGAUCAAAGGAGAGCUGGGGCCUGGAAGAACUUUGAAAACCAU
rnacentral:lncRNA from 10 species